rnacentral:lncRNA from 1 species
GUUUGAAUUGCAAACACUUUUGAGGUGUCAAUUUCAUUGCGUGUCAUCACGUAGUUCAAUGACUUGAACUGUUUAGAAGAUACUCACGAGAUGAAUGAAUAUACUGACACAGGAUCAGUCCUGUCUUUAGCAAGCAAUGUAUUCAUUUUUGUCGAUGGUUCUCAUUGUGGAAAAUUUAUCCACUCAGGAGUUGUAAUCUGCUAAAGGUUUGGUAAGAAGUUCAAUUGAAAGUUCCAUUGCCGAGUAAUGCUCUCCUCACUGAUACUGUGCUGAAACUCGAUCAGACGUAAGUAAACUAAUAAAAUCUAUCAAAUUUAUUCGUAGCCUUGUUUUAACUUUUAGAUUUUCAUUCUUAAAUCUCUGAUGAUAUUUGAACUAACUAU